AACCUUUAUUGAGUGCUAAGAGAAUGGACUUUCAAAAAGAUGCUUUUUUAGAUUUAAAAAUUGAAGUUAUUUUUAUAUGUGAAGAAACAAUAAUAAAAAUUAGGGACAAGAAGACCCUAUGAAUUUUUAUAAAUUCUUUAAAAAAUUUUUUAAAGAAUUUAUUUAAUUGGGGCGAUUAAUAAAUAUAUUUAACUUUUUUUUUAAAAAAAAAUGAUCCAUUAUUAAUGAUUAAAGAGGUAAAUACCUAGGGAUAACAGCGUAAUAAUUUUAGAUAGAUCUUAUAGAAAAAAUAGUUUGCGACCUCGAUGUUGGAUUAGAUUCUUAUAAUAAUAACUUAAGCUCGCUAGCUCGCCGCUGUCAU
rnacentral:rRNA from 1 species